rnacentral:lncRNA from 1 species
UCAAAAAAAGCUGGAAGCAAAGAUACAAGAAGACUGUUUGAGAGACAAUAAACAGAUCAAUUUGACUUGCAUAUGAGUAAAAAAAAAAAGUCCUAAGAAUCUUGAGUCUCCUUAAAUGUCAGGCAAGAGAAUCUGGGCUUUGAACCAAAUAGUGUGCAGAGUUUGAUAGCAUAUAAGCAGGUGAUUUGUUUCAAACUGUCUUAACAGGACCACUUAGAGCAGAUUUAAACCAGGCCAGCCUCUUUCUGGGCUAACUUUUCCCCUUCUUGUUGGCCCUGUUUUCAAAAAAUUCUCUUGGCAGAAUUAUUAGAGCAGAAACUAAGGGCAGAAAUUAUAGAAUCUGUCCUUUUUCUAAUAGAACCAGGAAAGAGGAGGCAAAAGUGAAUAAAAUGGUAAGAUUUAAGGUGUUAGAGAAAGAUGAAAUAAGGGUUUAAUCUUUCAAGGACUUGGUAGUCAACAUUUACCAUGUGUACUAUGGGAAUUGAAAAUAUGCCACUCCCAAUUAUACUUCUUUGGCAUAUUUUGAGAUGGAUUUUAGAGGAAGGGCAGACACAGGAAUAACUAUGCAAAGUUGUUCCUUUGGAAAAAAAAAAUUUACGCCUAUCUACAUGAAUAAAGUAUAAAGUUUGUGGCAAACAGUGGCAUUCUCUGAGACCUCCUUAUCUGCCUAAAGGUGACCUAAGGAAGCUCAUUUCACAGGAUAGGAGACUAGAGAUCCAAAACCCUGCCCAGAUGGAGAUUGCUACAGGCUGUCACCUAUUCUUUUGAAUGCAGUUCUGAGAUUACCAGAGAGUCAUCUUUAUCUGCAUGAUACAACAAACUUUUAUUCAUUGUACAUUCUUCCCCUCACCCUCCCAUAAGCUGUAUCUGUCUGUUCCCAGAAUUCCCAAGCAUCUAUUCCUCUCUGUAGCUCAGGAUAUUUUAUAAGCUUCAAUCAUUUGAUCUUUCUUUGAGUCUUAUAUUUCAUGAGGCUCCCAUGCACAUGCAUGUAAUAAAUAAUACACAUCUUUUCCUGGCAACCGACCUACUGUCUGUUUAUUCCAGAGACUCAGAUUAUUGAGGUUUUAAAGACUAGAAGGGAAUUUUUAACUCCAUUUCACUACCAAGCACUACCAUAGGCCCAAAGAGGGGAACAGCAGUCAUACUCCUUGCUGGCAUGGAACCUAGCAGAAUAAGAGUGCAGGAAUAAAAAGUUGCGCUGCUUUUGAGGCCCAUCUUCCUUCCAAAAGAUGGAAAUAACUUGAAUGUCUUUAUAGUCUCCAGGAUAUAAAUUCUACAACUUUCUGCACUAUAGACUUAUCCUGGACUUUAUACCUGUAUUUAUUAAUGACAGCUGACUAAUCUUUAAAGCAUGGUGACAAACAAGAUUUCUCAGAAUGCUGAGAGUUUUGCAAUAUUUAUGAGACCAUCUAAAAUUACAGAAGUAGUUCAAAUUCCACAUUUUCCUAACAUCUGGAACUAAG